rnacentral:rRNA from 1 species
CAUGCAAGUCGAACGGUGAAGCAGAGCUUGCUCUGUGGAUCAGUGGCGAACGGGUGAGUAACACGUGAGCAAUCUGCCCCUGACUCUGGGAUAAGCGCUGGAAACGGCGUCUAAUACCGGAUACGAGCUGCGACCGCAUGGUCAGUAGCUGGAAAGAAUUUCGGUCAGGGAUGAGCUCGCGGCCUAUCAGCUUGUUGGUGAGGUAAUGGCUCACCAAGGCGUCGACGGGUAGCCGGCCUGAGAGGGUGACCGGCCACACUGGGACUGAGACACGGCCCAGACUCCUACGGGAGGCAGCAGUGGGGAAUAUUGCACAAUGGGCGAAAGCCUGAUGCAGCAACGCCGCGUGAGGGAUGACGGCCUUCGGGUUGUAAACCUCUUUUAGCAGGGAAGAAGCGAAAGUGACGGUACCUGCAGAAAAAGCGCCGGCUAACUACGUGCCAGCAGCCGCGGUAAUACGUAGGGCGCAAGCGUUAUCCGGAAUUAUUGGGCGUAAAGAGCUCGUAGGCGGUCUGUCGCGUCUGCUGUGAAAACCCGAGGCUCAACCUCGGGCCUGCAGUGGGUACGGGCAGACUAGAGUGCGGUAGGGGAGAUUGGAAUUCCUGGUGUAGCGGUGGAAUGCGCAGAUAUCAGGAGGAACACCGAUGGCGAAGGCAGAUCUCUGGGCCGUAACUGACGCUGAGGAGCGAAAGGGUGGGGAGCAAACAGGCUUAGAUACCCUGGUAGUCCACCCCGUAAACGUUGGGAACUAGUUGUGGGGUCCAUUCCACGGAUUCCGUGACGCAGCUAACGCAUUAAGUUCCCCGCCUGGGGAGUACGGCCGCAAGGCUAAAACUCAAAGGAAUUGACGGGGACCCGCACAAGCGGCGGAGCAUGCGGAUUAAUUCGAUGCAACGCGAAGAACCUUACCAAGGCUUGACAUAUAGAGGAAACGUCUGGAAACAGUCGCCCCGCAAGGUCUCUAUACAGGUGGUGCAUGGUUGUCGUCAGCUCGUGUCGUGAGAUGUUGGGUUAAGUCCCGCAACGAGCGCAACCCUCGUUCUAUGUUGCCAGCACGUAAUGGUGGGAACUCAUGGGAUACUGCCGGGGUCAACUCGGAGGAAGGUGGGGAUGACGUCAAAUCAUCAUGCCCCUUAUGUCUUGGGCUUCACGCAUGCUACAAUGGCCGGUACAAAGGGCUGCAAUACCGUGAGGUGGAGCGAAUCCCAAAAAGCCGGUCCCAGUUCGGAUUGAGGUCUGCAACUCGACCUCAUGAAGUCGGAGUCGCUAGUAAUCGCAGAUCAGCAACGCU